UACGAAGGGGGCUAGCGUUGCUCGGAUUGACUGGGCGUAAAGGGCGCGUAGGCGGUUCGUACAGUCAGACGUGAAAUUCCUGGGCUCAACCUGGGGCUGCGUUUGAUACGUGCGGACUUGAGUGCGGAAGAGGGUCGUGGAAUUCCCAGUGUAGAGGUGAAAUUCGUAGAUAUUGGGAAGAACACCGGUGGCGAAGGCGGCGACCUGGUCCGAUACUGACGCUGAGGCGCGAAGCG
rnacentral:rRNA from 1 species